GUCGGUGUGUACGUAUUCGUGUGAAUGUAAUUUAUAUUUUCAGUGCGAUUGAAAAGCUUCCCGUCUCGGCUCCGGGCAAGCAGCGACGUCCUACCGGGGACUCAGCGGUGUGUCCUCGGCGAGCCUGCCUGCAGAGUGACGCCCCGCGCGGUACAGCCUGCCGUCUCUCCCCCGCUGACUCCGGCUCGCAUAACCUACCGGAGAAAAUCCGCGAAACAACAUCGUGAAUGGAGUGGCGAGGAGCUCCAUGUGUGGACAGGCCGUGAUGGCAGAGAUGAAUCGGGAAAGUAGAACCUAUUCACAUUCAGUUUCUGUUUUUGUCGUCGCUUAUUCUUGGGACGUGAAGAUUCUUAAACUCGAUUUCCUAAUGGUAAGGCCUUCAUAAAGCACAAAGUUGAAUUUUAAUCCCCGAAUCUGUUGUUCAAAGCUCAGAAACAAGACACGAUAGAAAAAGAUAGAAGGAGAGGAAAAUGAGCAGAGUUGAAUUGCACG